UUGUAGCUUGGCAAUGUUUCUAAGAUGGUAGAAUUCUGUUUUUGUAACAAGGGAAAUAUGAUUUUCAAAAGACAAAUUUGAAAUGGGUCUGUAAUUUGCCAGUUCACUAGGAUCUAGUUGUGGUUUCUUAAUUAGAGGCUUAAUAACCGCCAGCUUGAAUGGUUUUGGGACGUGACCUAAAGGUAAUGACAAGUUAAUAAUAUUGAGGUAACAACUCUUUCAGUAAAUUAGUGGGUACAGCAUCUAACAGGCAUGUU